AUAAUCCUGGAAUGUGCGAGCACCCUUCUAUUUUGAACCUACAUCUAUUUUUAUGGGACUCCAAUAUUGUUAAUAGGAUGUCAGACCUCACGUCGUGGUAGGCAGAGUAUUAAUUGAGGAAACCCACCUAGCUUCCGGCUAGGCGUCAAAAUAACGGGAACGGCAUUCUGGGUAUUCU
rnacentral:other from 1 species